rnacentral:rRNA from 1 species
AUUGAACGCUGGCGGCAUGCCUUACACAUGCAAGUCGAACGGCAGCACGGGAGCAAUCUUGGUGGCGAGUGGCGAACGGGUGAGUAAAGUAUCGGAACGUGCCCAGUCGUGGGGGAUAACUUAGCGAAAGUUACGCUAAUACCGUAUACGAUCUAUGAAUGAAAGCGGGGGAUCGCAAGACCUCGCGCGAUUGGAGCCGCCGAUAUCUGAUUAGGUAGUUGGUGGGGUAAAGGCUCACCAAGCCGACGAUCUGUAGCUGGUCUGAGAGGACGACCAGCAAAACUGGGACUGAAACACGGCCCAGACUCCUACGGGAGGCAGCAGUGGGGAAUUUUGGACAAUGGUCGAAAGCCUGAUCCAGCCAUGCCGCGUGCAGGAUGAAGGCCUUCGGGUUGUAAACUGCUUUUGUACGGAACGAAAAGGUUUGGCCUAAUAAGCUGAGCUCAUGACGGUACCGUAAGAAUAAGCACCGGCUAACUACGUGCCAGCCGCCGCCGUAA